UGCGUCCGAUCCAUUUCCUUCGACUCUCUCUCAUCCGAUCAAUUAUCGGGCCUCUCUCCAAAACCCUAGCGAAGGAAAAGGGUUUCUGGCGAUGGACCUGGACGCGGAGAUCGCGAAGGCGCAGGAGGAGCGGAAGAAGAUGGAGGAGGUGACCUUCACCUCCCUCACCUUCGACGCCGACCUCUACGGCGGCGCCGGCUCCGACCGUUUCGAGGGCUACGAGCGCUCCAUCGCCGUCACCGAGGAAGACGACGACGCCGCCGCCGACGACGGCUCCGGCGGCCGCGACCUCGCCCGCCGCAUGGCCUCCUUCACCGGCCCCAAGUCCCUCCACGACGUCCCCCGCGGAGCCGGCGCCGGCGCCGACGCCGACGCCGAGGACGACUCUGGGUUCAAAAAGCCGCAGCGGAUCAUCGACCGCGAGGACGACUACCGCAGGCGCCGGCUCCAGCGGAUCAUCUCCCCGGACCGCAACGACCCCUUCGCCUCCGGCGAGGCGACGCCGGACCCCUCCGUGCGGACCUACGCCGACGUCAUGCGCGAGCAGGCCCUGCAGCGCCAGAAGGAGGAGGUGUUGAGGGAGAUCGCUAAGAAGAAGGAGGAGGAGAAGGAGAAGGCCAAGGCUGCCCCCGCUGCCGCUGAACCGGCCCCCGCUGCUGCGCAGAAGAGGCGGAACCGGUGGGACCAGUCUCAGGAUUCGGCGGCUGAAUCCACCGGUGCGAAGAAGGCGAAAACAAGCUCGGAUUGGGACGCACCGGAUGCGACCCCCGGUAUAGGCCGGUGGGACGCAACUCCUACUCCCGGAAGGGUUUCUGAUGCAACCCCCUCUGUCAGAAGAAACAGGUGGGAUGAAACCCCGACGCCUGGUCGAUUGGCUGAUGCCGACGCCACGCCUGCUGGCGCAGGCGCGACGCCCGCUGGGAUGACCUGGGAUGCUACCCCAAAGCUCUCCGGCCUCGCGACGCCCACCCCGAAACGCCAGAGAUCGCGGUGGGAUGAGACUCCCGCCACCAUGGGAAGUGCCACCCCGUCCGCCGCCGCCGCAACGCCUGCGGCUGCUGCGUUCACUCCUGGUGUAACCCCUAUUGGCGGGGUUGAUCUCGCCACUCCAACACCUAAUGCGAUCAACCUCCGGGGCCCGAUGACUCCAGAGCAAUACAACCUUCUUCGGUGGGAGCGGGAUAUUGAGGAGCGGAACCGCCCGCUUACGGACGAAGAGCUCGACGCCAUGUUCCCGCAGGAAGGAUACAAAAUUCUCGAUCCCCCUGCGUCUUAUGUUCCUAUUAGAACCCCGGCUCGGAAGCUACUGGCCACUCCUACCCCUAUGGGCACACCUCUUUAUUCUAUACCCGAAGAGAACCGUGGGCAGCAGUUUGAUGUUCCGAAGGAGGCCCCAGGCGGGCUGCCGUUCAUGAAGCCGGAGGAUUACCAGUACUUUGGGUCGUUACUGAACGAGGAGGAGGAGGAGCAGCUCUCGCCGGAGGAGCAGAAGGAGAGGAAGAUCAUGAAGCUUUUGCUAAAGGUUAAGAACGGGACUCCGCCACAGAGGAAGACCGCUCUGAGGCAGUUAACGGACAAGGCCCGCGAAUUUGGUGCCGGCCCGCUAUUCAACAAGAUUCUCCCUUUGCUCAUGCAGCCAACUCUCGAGGACCAAGAGCGCCACCUUCUUGUUAAGGUCAUUGAUAGAGUGCUUUAUAAGCUCGAUGAGCUUGUAAGGCCAUUCGUGCAUAAGAUCCUUGUGGUCAUCGAGCCCCUUCUGAUUGAUGAAGAUUACUAUGCUCGCGUGGAAGGCCGGGAGAUCAUCUCUAAUCUUAGCAAAGCAGCUGGUCUUGCCACGAUGAUUGCUGCGAUGAGGCCGGAUAUUGAUAACAUUGAUGAGUACGUGAGGAACACUACUGCAAGGGCUUUUAGUGUGGUGGCUUCUGCUCUGGGUAUUCCCGCACUUUUACCCUUUCUGAAAGCCGUUUGUCAGAGUAAGAAGUCCUGGCAAGCACGGCACACAGGUAUUAAGAUUGUCCAGCAGAUUGCUAUCCUUAUGGGAUGUGCUGUACUUCCUCAUCUAAGGUCUCUUGUCGAGAUUAUAGAACAUGGUUUAAGUGAUGAGAAUCAGAAGGUAAGAACCAUUACUGCCCUCUCUCUUGCUGCGCUGGCUGAAGCUGCUGCGCCUUAUGGGAUCGAGAGCUUUGAUUCGGUGCUGAAGCCUCUUUGGAAGGGUAUCAGAUCUCAUCGCGGGAAAGUUCUUGCUGCUUUCCUUAAAGCAAUUGGUUUCAUUAUCCCUCUUAUGGAUGCUGUGUACGCGAGCUACUACACAAAGGAAGUCAUGGUUAUACUGAUCCGAGAGUUUCAGUCGCCGGACGAGGAAAUGAAGAAGAUUGUGUUGAAGGUCGUGAAGCAAUGCGUGAGUACGGAGGGUGUUGAGCCUGAUUAUAUAAGAAAUGAUAUUCUUCCCGAGUUCUUUAAGCACUUCUGGAUCAGGAAAAUGGCAUUGGAUCGUAGGAACUACAGGCAGCUUGUUGACACGACUGUAGAAAUAGCGAAUAAGGUUGGAGUUGCUGAUAUCGUUGGGAGGAUUGUAGAGGAUCUUAAGGACGAAAGCGAGCCGUACAGGAGAAUGGUGAUGGAGACUAUUGAGAAGGUGGUGGCUAACUUGGGUGCUUCUGAUAUCGAUUCUCGGUUGGAAGAGCUGCUUAUUGAUGGGAUUUUAUAUGCUUUCCAAGAGCAGACGAGUGAUGAUGCGAAUGUUAUGCUUAAUGGGUUUGGUGCGGUGGUUAAUGCUCUUGGUCAGAGGGUGAAACCUUACCUUCCUCAGAUAUGUGGUACCAUAAAAUGGCGGCUGAACAAUAAGAGCGCCAAAGUUAGACAGCAAGCAGCUGAUCUCAUUUCAAGGAUAGCCAUCGUUAUGAAACAGUGCCAGGAAGAGCAGUUGAUGGGCCACUUGGGUGUUGUUUUGUACGAGUACUUGGGAGAAGAGUAUCCUGAGGUCUUGGGUUCGAUCUUGGGUGCAUUAAAAGCUAUUGUCAAUGUUAUUGGUAUGACUAAAAUGACACCCCCAAUCAAGGAUUUGCUUCCGCGCUUGACUCCUAUAUUGAAGAAUAGACAUGAAAAAGUUCAAGAGAACUGUAUAGAUCUAGUGGGUAGGAUUGCUGACCGUGGAGCUGAAUUCGUCCCUGCAAGGGAAUGGAUGAGGAUUUGCUUUGAGCUUCUUGAAAUGUUGAAGGCUCACAAGAAAGGGAUCAGGAGAGCUACUGUGAACACUUUUGGCUAUAUUGCAAAGGCCAUUGGGCCGCAAGAUGUCUUAGCUACUCUUUUGAAUAACUUGAAGGUGCAAGAGCGCCAGAACCGUGUCUGUACUACCGUUGCUAUCGCCAUAGUUGCGGAAACUUGCUCCCCAUUUACAGUUUUGCCUGCCCUCAUGAAUGAGUAUCGUGUGCCUGAGCUUAAUGUACAGAAUGGAGUUCUAAAGUCCCUUUCCUUCCUUUUCGAGUACAUAGGAGAGAUGGGCAAGGAUUAUAUCUAUGCUGUGACACCGUUGCUUGAAGAUGCUUUGAUGGACAGAGACUUGGUUCACAGGCAGACUGCUGCUUCUGCUGUCAAGCACAUGGCUUUAGGUGUUGCUGGGUUAGGCUGUGAGGAUGCAUUGGUUCAUCUGCUUAACUAUGUUUGGCCGAACAUUUUUGAGACCUCUCCUCAUGUUAUUAAUGCUGUGAUGGAAGCUAUAGAGGGGAUGAGGGUUGCUUUAGGGGCAGCUGUUAUUCUGAAUUAUUGCCUUCAGGGUCUUUUCCACCCAGCGAGGAAAGUUCGGGAGGUGUAUUGGAAGAUCUACAAUUCUCUGUACAUUGGAGGUCAGGAUGCGUUAGUUGCUGCUUAUCCUGCUUUGGAGGAUGAUGACAGUAAUAUCUACAGCCGCCCGGAGCUAAUGAUGUUUAUCUGAGUUAUAGACUAAUUUGAUUGACGGACGUUACAAAAAAGCAGCUUGGCGGGCAAAUGGAUGCAGUGAAUUGUUGAAGCAUGUUUCAUUUUUCCAAAUGAAAGAAAGUUUGGUUGAGGCUCGAGCUAUGGAAACAGACCCUCUUUGUAAUGUGGUAAGGAGACUUUCACACCGUGUCGUCCCUUGACCCGUAUCUACAGGAGUUUGGUUGUAUUAUUAUUUAGGAGGGUAUGGCGUAUACAAUUAUUUCAGGACUGGUAGUUGACUAUGCUUCGAAAAAUUGUGAUCUCUCCUCGGUUAAAUUGGGAAUGUGUACAUUUGGCUGUUGAAGUGAGGUUCCAGUGUUGCAACAUCUAUGACACUCCGGAAUCAUUUGGUGCCCUUUGGUUUUCAGGUGUUGCAAACCAAAAUUGGUAGUUUAUUCUCGGUUGUUAUGAUCUGAUGAGACCUUGAUUAUUUAAUUGCAACAACCACGACCUUCUUCAUUAUCUUCUUUUUUAAGGUUUUUGUAAAAUACAUGACGGAAAUCAAGCAGUCUAAGCACACUGUUCGUCUUAUCAUCUUGGGUAAAAUAUUUGACGCAAAAUUUUAGGGAGAUAAUUUUGAUAUGCAAUAAUUAAGCCCGAGUCUUUUGAUGAUUUUGGAGGCUAACUGGAUAGAAUUAGAAGCUCGAAUAAGCAGAAGUAACAGCAUGGCAGGACUAGCGACCUUUUGUUACCCUAGGAAAACAUAAGCUCCCGAGUAAGAUAAAUAUUUGACAUGGCUAGCUAUUCCUGCUGAUAUACUUGAGUAUAUAAUGUAUAGGGUGUCUGUGUCAGUGCCCUCGAUGGGGUCGAGUCGAGCUACAGCUGAAGCAUGGAAGUUGUUCUUUUUUGCUACUGCUGGGCCGAGUCCAAGUUCCCUACUCUUUGGCUGAUAAAUUUAUUCGAGUUGUAAAGUGGUCUCCUUAAAUGUGAUUGUUGGUUACUGUAGUAUUUUUAUUUUUAUUUUUUGGUU